UAAAGUGCGUCGUAGUCCGGAUUGGAGUCUGCAACUCGACUCCAUGAAGUCGGAAUCGCUAGUAAUCGUGGAUCAGAAUGCCACGGUGAAUACGUUCCCGGGCCUUGUACACACCGCCCGUCACACCAUGGGAGUGGGUUGCAAAAGAAGUAGGUAGCUUAACCUUCGGGAGGGCGCUUACCACUUUGUGAUUCAUGACUGGGGUGAAGUCGUAACAAGGUAACCGUAGGGGAACCUGCGGUUGGAUCACCUCCUUACCUUAAAGAAGC
rnacentral:rRNA from 1 species